CCCGAAUUUGGAAGAGCUAUAUUUACAGGGAUUUUAUGUUGAAAAAUAACUCUAAAUGUAUAUAUAGAGGUAAAAUGCUAGUCGAUUUCAAAUAUAUCUGGUUUCUCAAGAAAAAAAUUUAAUUUUGUACACGGUUUUUAUUUUCUAAUUCUUGAUAUGAGGAAUAAGUGUUGGAAUAAGUAAGGGGAUGAGCUUUUACUUAAAUUUAGUACAAUAUUGUAGGCUUAAAUAAUAGGGAGGGAUAGAAGUUUCUAUUUUGUGUUAUAACGGUUUAUUUGUUAAGGAUGAUUUUUAUUCAAUUUACUUUGGUAUUGAGAUUGUACUGACAAUAGUAUUGGUAUGUAAUAAUGAUAAUAUUAGUAUAAAUAAUGAGUAUUUUUAUAUUUAUUUUGUAAGGUUAUCUUAAGGAACUCGGCAAAUAUAGUUUUCACCUGUUUAUUAAAAACAUGGCCUUUUGAUUAUAAUUUAAGGUCUGGCCUGCUCAAUGAGGGAUUAAAUGGCCGCGGUAUUUUGACCGUGCUAAGGUAGCAUAAUCACUAGUUUUUUAAUUGAAAGCUGGAAUGAAAGGUUUGAUGAGAAACUAGCUGUCUCUGGUUGAUUUGUGUAGAAUUUUAUUUUUAAGUAAGAAAGCUUAAAUUUUCAUCGAAGACGAGAAGACCCUAUAGAGUUUUAUAAUUUUGUUUAAGUUAAGUUCAUAGGAUUAUAUAAGUUUAAUUUAAAUAGUUUAUUUUGUUGGGGUGACAGAAAAAUUUAUCAAACUUUUUUUGAAAUAUUACAUUAAUGUAUGGGUGGAUGAUCCUAAAAUUUAGAUUAUAAGAAUAAACUACCUUAGGGAUAACAGCGUAAUCUUUUUUUAGAGUUCUGAUCGAUAAGAAGGGUUGCGACCUCGAUGUUGGAUUAAAAUUAAUUUGCGGUGCAGAAGCUGCAAAAUUAAGUCUGUUCGACUUUUAAAAUUUUACAUGAUCUGAGUUUAGACCGGCGUGAGCCAGGUCGGUUUCUAUCUCGAUGAUAAGUAUUUUAUUUUAGUACGAAAGGACCAAAUAA
rnacentral:rRNA from 1 species